rnacentral:rRNA from 1 species
CAUUACUGAGUUUACGCUCUACAACCCUUUGUGAACAUACCUACAACUGUUGCUUCGGCGGGUAGGGUCUCCGCGACCCUCCCGGCCUCCCGCCUCCGGGCGGGUCGGCGCCCGCCGGAGGAUAACCAAACUCUGAUUUAACGACGUUUCUUCUGAGUGGUACAAGCAAAUAAUCAAAACUUUUAACAACGGAUCUCUUGGUUCUGGCAUCGAUGAAGAACGCAGCGAAAUGCGAUAAGUAAUGUGAAUUGCAGAAUUCAGUGAAUCAUCGAAUCUUUGAACGCACAUUGCGCCCGCCAGCAUUCUGGCGGGCAUGCCUGUUCGAGCGUCAUUUCAACCCUCAAGCUCUGCUUGGUGUUGGGGCCCUACAGCCGAUGUAGGCCCUCAAAGGUAGUGGCGGACCCUCCCGGAGCCUCCUUUGCGUAGUAACUUUACGUCUCGCACUGGGAUCCGGAGGGACUCUUGCCGUAAAACCCCCCAAUUUUCCAAAGGUUGACCUCGGAUCAGGUAGGAAUACCCGCUGAACUUAAGCAUAUCAAUAAGCGGA